rnacentral:rRNA from 1 species
GAUGAACGCUGGCGGCGUGCUUAACACAUGCAAGUCGAACGAUGAAGCCCAGCUUGCUGGGUGGAUUAGUGGCGAACGGGUGAGUAACACGUGAGUAACCUGCCCUUAACUCUGGGAUAAGCCUGGGAAACUGGGUCUAAUACCGGAUAGGAGCGUCCACCGCAUGGUGGGUGUUGGAAAGAUUUAUCGGUUUUGGAUGGACUCGCGGCCUAUCAGCUUGUUGGUGAGGUAAUGGCUCACCAAGGCGACGACGGGUAGCCGGCCUGAGAGGGUGACCGGCCACACUGGGACUGAGACACGGCCCAGACUCCUACGGGAGGCAGCAGUGGGGAAUACUGCACAAUGGGCGCAAGCCUGAUGCAGCGACGCCGCGUGAGGGAUGACGGCCUUCGGGUUGUAAACCUCUUUCAGUAGGGAAGAAGCGAAAGUGACGGUACCUGCAGAAGAAGCACCGGCUAACUACGUG